rnacentral:lncRNA from 1 species
GUUUGAACUUUGGUUUUUUAGUUUGUCUGGGAAUCACUCAAGAUGCCCUUGUUAGAUAAGGGGGUUGCAAAAGGCCAUUUGGCCAGGGGGCUGGGAAGGGGAUUGGGGAAGGGAGCCAAGAAAGGUAUGUGUGCAAAGGAGUCCCAGCCCUUUGGAGCUGGAUUGAAGUAGUUUCAGGAUAAAAAAGUUGGAGGCUCAGAAAAGUCUUUCUUUUCUCCUUGAGAGCUUUGCACUGACAUCUGGUCUCUGGGAUCUUGACUAAUUUUAGCACAUCUCCUUUCAACAAGGAUUGACUGAGCAUUUGCUUUGUACCAGGACUUGGUCAACUCCAGGUGUGCAGACACCAAGCAGGAAGAUUUGCCCCUUCAAGGUCACGCUCACUUGGGGUUGGUGAUGAGACAUGAGACAGGUGAUAAGGGUUCUUCACCCAGUUGACGUUACCUGAAGCCUUCCUGAAAAAGGCUGCCUGCGUGGAGAGGCGAAGGAUGAACAAGAUAUGGCAAGGCGGAGAAAGGACAGCUUUUGGAGAAUGCUCCCCUGCCUGCUCUGCUCUGAGGACUGGAAGGAAGAGAGGCUGGUUUUAUCCUUGUGUCUCUGAAGAGCUGGGAGCAAGAGUGACAAGUUUGCGGCCGGGCUUGGUGGAGACAGCAAGAAUCAAGUGAGAAAACUCUUAUGGGGAAGUGAGCCAUGGAGACCGUCAAGCCGCCAGGUUUCCCCCUAAAUGUGGUCUUUGGAACACAGUUGUCCUCAAGCCCUGAGGGACUUUCAGUUUGAUUAAUUUUUUUCUUGUAAAAGGCUAUAUAUAUUUUGUGUGUGUUAGUCGCUCAGUCGUGUCUGACUCUUUUCAACACUAUGGACUGUAGCCCACCAGGCUCCUCUGUUCAUGGAAUUCGCCAGGCAAGAAUACUGGAGUGGGUAGCCAUUCCCUUCUCUAGGGGAUCUUCCCGACCCAGGGAUCGAACCCAGGUCUCCCACAUUGCAGGCAGAUUCUUUACCAUCUGAGCCACCAGGAAGCCCUUAUAUUUUAGGUUAAUAUAUUCUUUCAAAUGUAUCAAGUAUUGCAUAAUAAAGUUGUAUAUAACACAUAUGUUAUAUAUGUC